rnacentral:rRNA from 1 species
GACGGACGCUGGCGGCGUGCUUAACACAUGCAAGUCGAACGGAAAGGCCCCAGCUUGCUGGGGUACUCGAGUGGCGAACGGGUGAGUAACACGUGGGUGAUCUGCCCUGCACUCUGGGAUAAGCCUGGGAAACUGGGUCUAAUACCGGAUAGGACCGUGCUUUAGUGUGUGCGGUGGAAAGUUUUUCGGUGCAGGAUGAGCCCGCGGCCUAUCAGCUUGUUGGUGGGGUAAUGGCCUACCAAGGCGGCGACGGGUAGCCGGCCUGAGAGGGUGUACGGCCACAUUGGGACUGAGACACGGCCCAGACUCCUACGGGAGGCGGCAGUGGGGAAUAUUGCACAAUGGGCGCAAGCCUGAUGCAGCGACGCCGCGUGGGGGAUGACGGCCUUCGGGUUGUAAACCCCUUUCGGCAGGGACGAAGCUUUUGUGACGGUACCUGCAUAAGAAGCACCGGCUAACUACGU